UUGCGUCAGCUUUCAAAUAGUUUAGCAUCUUGCCUCUUGGCCAUGUCAUGUGACUCAACAGAAUCCUGAUUGGUUGAAAUAUGAAAGCUUUUCAUUGACAUUAUUGAAAACCUUUAUUUUCUAUAAAAUACUAACUUGGAGAGCUAAAUAAGCUCAAUCAACACCUAAAAAUGUUCGAAUAAAGGUUUGCUUCGAGCUCCUCCAAGUGUUAGCGAUGGUUGUUUUUCUGACGGCCUCUUGCAAGCGGGAGGGUAAACAAAUCCACUUUUAAUAAGAGCUCCUAGCUCAUAAUCUGGGCCUGCCAGCAGGUGAGGAUCGGCAUAUGGGGUGAGACCGGGACGAACGGAACGCCACCAACACACACAGCCGCACGCCAAGCAGCUGUCGCUUGUUUUCCGAGGCGAGGCCCAUCCAACGGGAGCGCCGUGGGUCCGCGGGAGCCGCGCCAAAAACAGGGAAGCAAACGGAUGAUCUCGAGCGAGCGACAGAAGGCGAAGACGGGGACCGAAGUCCACCUCGGAGCUCGGAAGAAGGAGGUUAUGAAAAAGAUAAAACUCUUUCAGUGCGAGAGGAAAAAAAUCAAUUUCCCCCCUGACUGAUUUGUUUACCCGGCAGCACAGACGCCGUCUUUCAGCUUCCUCGCCGUUUUGGCUCAUUCCUCGCCGUUCGGCGAAAGGUUUCAAUAAAAGGGUUGGUUUUUCCUCUGCGUUUUCCUGCGUGUCCUCCCCUUUGUCCCGCUGUCUCUUCUUGUCCAUCACUGCUCCCUUGUUUCUCCUCGCCUCUGCCUUUCCCUUCCCUCCAUCUGUGCCUCUUAUGAAGUGUGAAAAAUUAUCAUCCGCAGGAUGAAGUGGACAAAAUCCACGGGCUUAAUGGCCUGACGAAAUGAAUCGCGACCCUCCUCGCCAUCCAUCACCGUUCCGAGGCGACUGCGGUUAAGAUCUGUGAAGGUGCAGGCUUAUUGAUUACUGCUUGUAACUACAGAGUGUCUGAUUCAGUGCCUGUGGAGGGGAGUUGGGGGGGUUUGCCAGGUGGUGGGUGGAAGGGAACGCUCUCAAAAAAAAAGAGGAAAAAAAUCUUCUUUUGAUAGAUUUUAAAUGGUGAAAUAUUGAUUUCUGUCUGGUCCAAGGCCUGGCCGAGCGGGUCGCAACGAUUUGUCGGAGGCAUAAUGCCGGACACCCGACUCGGCUGGCCACCAUCAGUCAUCCUGACACCAGGAAAAAUGAGAGAAACGAGGAAAGGGAGCGGUUAGGAAACCGGGAAGAGAAAUAACUCAACCUUUUAGCUUUUUUUUUUUUUUUCCCUGCUGAAUCUUUGAUGCGUGGAAAGCCUGAAAGCCUCCUUAACAUUCUGCUUUUCAGAAUAAAAGUUCAUCGCCUGUUUGGUUGCAGGGGGCGAGGAUAAUGACCCACUAAGGGAGCUGACCAUGAAAAGGUGAUUAUUGCUCUUAAUUGCCGUCCACAGAGGCUGCCAGAGCGCGGGCAGGUAACAUUAAUCUACAUUAAAGCAGUUUUCUGCUGAUUCAUUGUUGUUGCAGCAGAUAAACCGAAAUUAAUCCAAAUUUUUAACGUCAGCUUUAAAGAACACGUUCAAAGAUAACAAAAACACCCCAACGACAGAUCAAACCUUUAAUUGUUUUAGUUAUAUGAGUAUACAUGUAUUUUAGUCUUAUAAUUAAAAAAAAAAAAACAAAAAAAA